ACGCCGAUGGUGAAGCGGUUAUCAUGCUUGCCUUCCAUUUGUAUGUGAUAGCAAGCGGCAGGGGUUCGACUCCCCUUCGGCGUA